rnacentral:rRNA from 1 species
CCUUGUACACACCGCCCGUCACACCAUGGGAGUUGGUUUUACCCGAAGGCGCUGAGCUAACCCGCAAGGGAGGCAGGUGACCACGGUAGGGUCAGCGACUGGGGUG